rnacentral:rRNA from 1 species
GGGCCCGCACAAGCGGUGGAGCAUGUGGUUUAAUUCGAUGAUACGCGAGGAACCUUACCAGGGCUUAAAUGUAGUUUGACCGGUCUGGAAACAGACUUUCUCUUCGGAGCAGAUUACAAGGUGCUGCAUGGUUGUCGUCAGCUCGUGCCGUGAGGUGUUAGGUUAAGUCCUGCAACGAGCGCAACCCCUAUUCUUAGUUGCCAGCGGUUCGGCCGGGGACUCUAAGAAGACUGCCAGCGCAAGCUGAGAGGAAGGUGGGGAUGACGUCAAAUCAUCACGGCCCUUACGUCCUGGGCUACACACGUGCUACAAUGGCCGGUACAGAGAGCAGCCACUUCGCAAGAAGGAGCGAA